UGCAAGAGAAAGACACUUGACCUGUGCAAU
rnacentral:piRNA from 1 species